rnacentral:rRNA from 1 species
UUUAGAGUUUAUCCUUGGAUCAAAGGUACAGCUGGAACGUGGGCCUGCACCGCUUAACACUUACACAGCUGACCGCGUGAGAGUGAGCUUGGAUUGGUGUUGAGUGGAGGAAGGGAGAGUAAAACAUCGGAAUGUGCUUAGUAGGGGGGGAGAAUGUAGAAAAAGAUGCGAUAAUCCCGUAUACGUCAUACGAGAAAGAGCAGGACGUUUUGGGCCCUUGCGAUAAUAUGUGGGCCGAUGUGGGAUUAGAUAGGUGGCUGGGUAAAGGCUUAUCCAGGAGGGAUCGUAGAGUUGUCAUAGGGAUGUCAGCUACAUGGGAAUUGAGACUCGUCCCCGACUCCUACGGGAGGCGGCAGUUGGGAAUAUUGGACAAUGGGGGAAAGCUGAAUCCACCCAUCCCGCGUUAUGAAAAAAGCCUUUCGGUUGUAAAAGCCUUUUUGCUGGGAGGGGAGUGAAGCUGUUUAAUACCUGGUUGAUUGGACUGUACCGAAAGAAUAAGCCCCGGCUAAUUUUGUGCCAGCAGCCGCGGUAAUACAGAGGGGGCAAGCGUUUUUCGGAAUUAUUGGGCGUAAAGCGCGCGUAGGUGGUUUUUUAAAUCUGAUGUAAAUCCCGGGGCUCAACCUGGGAACUGCAUUUGAAACUGGCAAGAUAGAUUGUGGAAGAGGGGGGGAAUUUCCGUGUUAACGGGAAAUUGUUGAGUUUCGGAAGGAACCCCCUUGGGGAAGGGGGUUCACCUGGGCUGCACGACAUUUGGGUGGAAAGGCGGGAAGUGUUUUU